AUAAAUAUCUUAUCGUCUGCUGAAGCACACAAAAAAUAUAAUAACAACCACUUAGGUAAAUUGAUUGAUGGAUAGAGGAAUCACAGAAGAUAUAAAUACAGUCAAACCUGGUCAAAGAGGCACUUGAUUUAAGCAAGUCAUCACGCUAGGCGGACAAAUUUAGUUCUCACGAAGGAAUUUCUUACAAAAACUGUAUUAAACUUAUCUCCGCAAUCCCUGGCCACCAGCCACAUAAUUUUUAAAAUAGCUAAUAAUAGGUAUAUAGCUACGGAUGUAAAUCGUGUGAAUUUUUAAGUUGGGCCGUUUUUUUGCUUCUUUUUUAAUUGAUCCAAAUAUAUCAGGUAUUUUAUGUCAAACCCGUGGUUUUGAUCUGUUUACUUUUAUUUUCAAUGAUAUAUAGAUAUAACUGAUUUUUCGAUUCUCCUAUAUAACCGAGAUUCAUCGCUACUCCAAAAUACUUCACUCUCAGUCAUUUCCUUACUCCAAAACUCUGUUAUUUACCUUGUCUAUCAGUUACUACAGGUGCGAUUAAAAAUGUUUGAGUAACAAUCAAAACGGAAGAGGGUGUGCUAUCUCUUCCACGCACAAGAGUUACUCUGACAAGAAGAUCUUCACAGUGGACGCUGUUCUGAACAGGAAAAAUGAACCGUUCAAGAGCUCAUGUCAAGAGAACCUUCAGGGCCAAACAUCCAGCUCAGGUCAUGGUCCUGGGCGUUGUGGCGUCUGACGGCAGCAAGAUGGCUACCUACUUCUUCAAGGCCAACGAGAAAGUCGACAUGGACACCUACUACAAGGUCCUGAGGUACCCUAUCUUGCCAUGGUUGAAGAGCACGUUCCCCAGGGAUAAUUAUGUGUUAACCAAGACAGCACCUCCUCACACACGUCCAAGAAGGUGCAGCAUUUCUGCACAGAGAACAUGUGUGCCUUCUGGCCGGCCAGACUUCCGGCCUUUGUCCUCACCCGACGUGAACCCCCUGGACUUCGCUGUUUGGUGCUUCUUGGAGAGAAAGACGAACAAAACUUCUCAACAAAAUGUCUAGGCCCUUUAGGCGGUGAUCACGGAGGAGUGGAUCAACUUGUCCUCGGACUUCAUCAAGGCAAUUUAUAUUUUUCUUCGUCCCUGCAUUGAAACCAUCAUUCAUAAUGGAGAGGACAUAUUGAAUAAAAAGGGUAGAAAAUUGUUGAAUUACCAAAUUUUGCUUCAAAAGUUGCCUAAUAACAGUGGCACAAAAUAAAAGUGUAAAGAUGUGAAAAAGGGAUUGAAAAUUUUCUAAUUUUUGAGUCCUCACCCUGUAUGUGUGCACUAUGGAGUCUCAUGUUGAGAGGAAGUCUACAAUCUCUAUCUUUAAUUAUAAUAAUAAUACACUAUUUAUAAAACA
rnacentral:lncRNA from 1 species